rnacentral:rRNA from 1 species
GACGAACGCUGGCGGCGUGCUUAACACAUGCAAGUCGAACGGAAAGGCCCUGCUUGUGUGGGGUGCGCGAGUGGCGAACGGGUGAGUAACACGUGAGUAACCUGCCCUUGACUUUGGGAUAACUUCAGGAAACUUGGGCUAAUACCGGAUAGGAGCUCCUGCUGGAGGGUGGGGGUUGGAAAGUUUCGGCGGGUGGGGAUGGACUCGCGGCUGAUGAGCUUGUUGGUGGGGGAGUGGCUUACCAAGGCUUUGACGGGUACGCCGCCUGAGAGGGUGGCCGGCCCCCUUAGGACUGCGGUACGGACCAGACUCCUACGGGGGGCAGCAGUGGCGAGUAUUGCACAAUGGGCCGACGCCUGGUGCAGCAACGCCGCGGGCGUGAUGCCGGCCUUCGAGUUGUGAACCGCUUUCGCCUGUGACGAAGCGUGAGUGACGGUAAUGGGUAAAGAAGCACCGGCUAACUACGUG